UGUAAGUUUGUGUACCUACUGUAAAUGUGGACAAAAAGCCAUCUGGGAUUUAGUGGGCUUGCGAUGAGUUUAGCAAUGCCCAUAAAGAAUCCACAUUU